GAGGGUAUAGCUCAGUGGUCGAGCACAUGCUUAGCAUGCAUGAGGUGCUGGGUUCAAUCCCCAGCACCUUCA
rnacentral:tRNA from 1 species